CGUAGCUCUGGUAGCACAGGACCCAUUUGCCUGCAUGGAGUGGUUCAGACCCAUUAUAGGCACAUCCCGUUCGUGGCCACAUUUGUCUGCAUUGAGCUGAUGAAAAUAUCGUCACCGUGAAGAGCAGCAAUAAAACGAGCCUGACACCCACAGCCUCGGAUGUUCCUCUGCGGAGCAGGGAGGUUCUGAUGCAGAGCGAAGCUAUGCCAGGAAAGCCUGAACCCCUCCCCAGCCCCCCAGCCCCAAGCGUUUCUCGAAGAGACUGAGCUUGGGGAUAUAAGCAAAAGAGCUCAGGGCUGCAGGACUGCGGCCCAGGUGAGCAUCAGAGGGAAGAGGGUCAUCCUUUCUAGAAGAGCCAAGCGUGCCUGCGCUGGACGGCGAUGGCGGGAACACCAAGGAAUCAAAGCUUAAGGAGAGGGCCUCUCAGGUAAGCCCUGAUCCAGCAGUGGCACCCCAGUGGGGUUACCGUGUGGGGUGGAGGGUCUCCCCACUCUUCCCACCUUAUUUAGAAGCUGUUAGAUCAACGGAACCCCUGGACAAGUAAGAGAUGCUGGGUGUACAGGGAAGGCUGCUUCAUGCGCCUCCAGGACCGGCCUUACUCAUCCGCCCCGGCUCGUGGGAAAGGAUCCCGGCACUGUCCACCUGCUUUCAUUUAAUCUCAUAAGGAUCCCAUAAGCAGGUGCUCUUAGCCACCAAUGUCUUUCUAAAUCCAGGCCCCGAGUCUCCCCAGAUUCCAGCUCCAACUUCAGACAAGGACAGGGGUUAAAGGCAGAAAAUUAAGGAAGGUAUAGAUGAAACAAUAGGCAUCUUUCGUGCCCUGACGACUAUGAAAUAGUUAGUGGUGAGUAGGCCCGACUGCCCGAAAUGCAAAUAAACAAGCGGAGGCGCGAAGACCGGCCAUUUGGUCAGUGCGGUGGGAGCCGGGGGGGCUCUCCUGCUCUCGGGAAGCAACUUCCUGACUCCAGCGUGGCACUCGUCGCGCGAAUCAGCCAACCACAGACGCACCAGAAGGGCUGCAAUCUGGCCCUGACGUGGCAGGGGUAACUGGCACUUUGUUCGCCACUGGCAAGGAGACCCGUGUUUGCAGGAAAGCGAUCCCUUUGCUAACACUCAGUACUUUUCAAAGUCAUUUCUCAAUCUUCGGAGCCUUAUGGCUACUUUUGCUCUGAGUGGAGUGCUGCGUCUGCCUUACCCACGCCUUCUGGCCUCCGGAAGCGGACUCUCUGGGUUGGCGUCUGCCUUCUACCCAUUCCCAAAUGGGAGGCCUUGAACAAAAUACUGAAACUCUUCUUGCCUCAGUUUUCUCAUCAAUACAAUGGGUUUGUUUUUGAGGAUUAAAUGGAAAAAACAAAAAGGCAGGGUAAGUGCUCACUGUUGGUCUAUUGUCCGUUUUCAGUAAAUAUCAGUUUUGAUUAUCAAUAAGGUCCGGUGGAUAUGAGUCCACUGGGAAGAUGUAUUUGGAAACGUCGUGUGAACACAAGUAUGUCAUGAAUCCGCUCGUACGAUUUGUCCUGCGUUCUUCGCCUCUGGAACUAGCACAGAGAAGAUAGGUGCUGUUUUCCAGGACGCCCGAGAUUCCUGGACGUGGAGAAAUGCAGGACUGUGCGCCAGGUUACCGGGUGUCGGACGGAAGGGUGAUUCCCAUAUUACGGAAGCUUCUUUUAACACAUGGUUAUGGGGCCCGGGCAUGACACGGGGCCUCCCAAGGGCCUUGGUCCCCAAUGUCAGAGCCUGGGUUUGGGGGCCUCCCCCCAACAUCUCUCACGUCUUACUUUGUCGUGGCCUCUUCUGUGCCCACCUGCUCACGUCUGGGGCAACAGACCCCGGCCCUUUACCAUUUUUCUCAAUAAAUGAAUUUCACUCAGGAGACGGAUUGUGGAAAACUGUCCUGCGGGUCUGAGGAGUCGCCGGGAGCGACCCUACAGGAGCUCACAGUCUCCCCCGUUUCCCUGCUCUUCCACCCCGAACGGGGCUGCCUUGGCAAUGGCUGACAGCACAUCAGUGACUUUCCUGCCUCCUGCAGCCCCCUGGGAAAUGGAGUCCAGCCCCACCACCUCGCCUGGUUAGAGGUGUUCAAGAAAGUCAGGCCCACGGACCCGAGCUCUGCUUCUGCAGUCUCUGGGUUCAAAUCCAGGGUCUUCAGCUUCCUAACAAUCUUGACCAAGACACUGAAGUUCUCUGCGCAUCUGUUUCCUCCUCUGAAAAAGGGAAGUGUUUUCCUCUGAAAAUGGAACCGAAACCUAGGCUAGAGAUGAGGACUCUGCUCUCCUGGUUCCUCCUGCCUGACCCUGCACCUCUGCUUUUUAUCGGAGAUGAGCUGAAACCCCUUCCUAAUCUGCUGUCACCUUACAAACAGAAUUCCAUCUCUUCUGCAUAGCAGAGUAGGAAAGCAGACGUAGUCCCAUGUUAGGCUAUGCUGAGCUCCAGAAGGGUAAGGCACCAGCUAGGACAAAAAUCAGGAAAAAAGACACCAUUCAGCGUGGGAGAAGGUCAUGGAGAGGCUGUGACCACCAGCUGGCCUGUGAGAUCCUCCUUUGGGAUGUGCUCUCUGUCCCCCCACUCUGGUCCCAUAGCAGGAGCCAUUUUCAAGGACUCCACCUUGAGACAGCGCACCGUUGUGGAGACCACCUGGCCAGCAGACGUGGCUGGACCCCGUCAGGCCUCUCUACAAAUGGAAGAUCCUGGCGGGUGGAUGCAGAGACCUCCUCGCUGGGUGGUACCCAAGGCAAGCCUGGCAAGUUUUGGAGUGACAAGGCACUGUUACUGGAUCCCAGUGGCCAGGGCUCCUUGACAAGAGCGGGAACCAGCAUGGAGCCAGCUGGUGGCAGGCGUGUCCGUGUAAGAGGCCAGGCUGAUACGGAAACACUGCCCGAGCCACAUCACAGGGGAAGAGAAAUGUGUGGGAUAAGACUGAGUUUUUGGAGUCAAAGUUUCUCAUCUUUGUUACAUUACAAAGGAACCAGGAGCACCUUCCUUAUGGAUUACACUGGGCCAAGGACGGGCUCUCUGGAAAUCAGUGCCGUGACUUUCACCCCUGCUGGUCUUUGAGUCUGGAGAAGAGUCAGGCGUGCAGCUGGCAAGAGAUGUGCCUCUGCAUGUGUUUGCAGGCUGAGCUCUUGAUGGAAUGUGUGGGGGGCUGCAUUACAAAGCGCUAAGCAAGCAGAUCACCCUUUGAGCACAUUUGCGUAGCUUCGGUUUCUACCUUUGAUAAAGCACAGAUUAAUUCCAUUUGCAUACCUCCUCCUUCACUUGGAACACUUGCCAGCAUUCAUUAAGACCGUGUUAGCAAAACAUCCUCUACUGAACCAUCAAAGCCUACAAAUGACUUGUUACUAGGGAGCUUAAUUCGGGUGGAGGUGGGGAAGGAAGAGUAGAGACAGAUGUGAGAUGGCGCACGCGUGCUUACGUGCGUGCUGAG